rnacentral:rRNA from 1 species
AGAGUUUGAUCAUGGCUCAGAAUCAACGCUGGCGGCGUGCCUAACACAUGCAAGUCGAACGCGAAAGUGGAGCAAUCCAUGAGUAGAGUGGCAAACGGGUGAGUAACGCGUGGGUGACCUGCCUUCGAGUGGGGGAUAACGUUCCGAAAGGGACGCUAAUACCGCAUGACAUCCGGCCUUUGAAGAGGCGGAGAUCAAAGCUGGGGAUCGCAAGACCUAGCGCUCGAUGAGGGGCCCGCGUCUGAUUAGCUAGUUGGUGGGGUAACGGCUCACCAAGGCAACGAUCAGUAUCCGGCCUGAGAGGGCGGACGGACACACUGGGACUGAGACACGGCCCAGACUCCUACGGGAGGCAGCAGUGGGGAAUUGUUCGCAAUGGGCGCAAGCCUGACGACGCAACGCCGCGUGGAGGAUGAAGAUCUUCGGGUCGUAAACUCCUUUCGAUCGAGACGAACAGCUUCCGGGUGAACAAUCCGGAGGUCUGACGGUACCGAGAGAAGAAGCCCCGGCUAACUCCGUGCCAGCCGCCGCGGUAAUAC